rnacentral:rRNA from 1 species
AUACGGAGGAUCCGAGCGUUAUCCGGAUUUAUUGGGUUUAAAGGGUGCGCAGGCGGCCAUUUAAGUCAGCGGUUAAAUCGUGGGGCUCAACCCCAUUCUGCCGUUGAUACUGGGUGGCUUGAUUGCGGUCGAGGUUGGCGGAAUUCGUUGUGUAGCGGUGAAAUGCAUAGAUGUGACGAAGAACACCGAUUGCGUAGGCAGCUGACCAGACCGCAAAUGACGCUCAUGCACGAAAGUGCGGGGAUCGAACAGGAUUAGAUACCCUGGUAGUCCGCACAGUAAACGAUGAAUACUUGUUUUCGGCGAUAUAAUGUCGGAGGCAAAGCGAAAGCGAUAAGUAUUCCACCUGGGGAGUACGCCGGCAACGGUGAAACUCAAAUGAAUUGACGGGG